GAAACCAGUCAUGGGUAUUGAAUCAAUACAGUUUUCAAUCUGUCUUACAGCAGUCUAGUUGGGCUUGUUGUCAGUUUGUUAGGGUUUGAAUGAAUUUGUAUUCCUUCUAAACACUUCAGCGCAUCUUUAUUUGAGAGAAUAACAUAAACUAGAGUUAUAGCAUUGUUUCCUAGAAAGCUUGCUUUAUUUCUGCUAUCACUACUAGUUUUUUGGUAUCUUUCUUAUUUUCUUGCAGAGUAAGUACUGCAUAAAUGUCUCUAGUCAUUAUUGUUUACGUUCUGAGAAUAGAAGAACUUGUCAGCUAUACUUUAGGUUAUAAAGUCAUUGCUAGGCUAUGGGUUAAAUUGUGUCUUGGUGAAGUCCUUCCCUCAUGACCGUGCUUUGGCUGAAUCCUGUCUCCAGGGAGAGGAAAUGUUUCUGUCACUCUCCCUCUUCCUGAGGAAGCAUGUCUCCAGCCUUGCAAAGUCAUCAUGCCUGAAAAAAUCACCACCAGGCUGUGUUAACACAACAAAUCCCUCCCAGGUUGCUAAUUAUGUUGUGUGCCCCCACCCCCUUUAAAGCCACUCACCUCUGCAGUGUCCCCAUCACUGAGUGAUUGCUUUUCCUGGAAUAAACAUACACAGUAUGUGCUGCAAAUGCAAAACCAGGAAAACUUCAGGAAAAAAAGGAGAGGGCUUUGGGAGAGAUUAAGAAUGAGAUAUUUAAAGGAGAGGACCUCACCUGGCCAACCAGACAACCAGAGUCAGCUGGUAAGCAGCGGGUGUCAGAUAUCAAAGGUAAGAGCCCUACCACUUCUUUAUGGGAUGCUGCAGUGGGGAACCCACAGCCAAUGCCCAAGCUGGAGGACAUAAAAUUACUCCAGGUAGCAGUUGGAGGUCAUUCAGAAAAACAGAAACUGAUCUAAUUUGAAAUGAGAG
rnacentral:lncRNA from 1 species